CAUUAACUUUUCAUCUUCCCUCCAAAAGCAAAUUCUUAUUUUUCCAUUUCCCUUUCUUCCCUAACUUCAUUCGCCCCCAUCAAAAUUUCAAACUAUUCCCUCAACCACUGGAUUUUACUUUACUUUUCCUUCCACCCUACCAAAACAGUUAUCUCUAUAGAUUUCUCCUUGUUGCGAUCAAAGAGUAAGGUAUAUCUGUUAAGGUAAAAAGGGGAACCAAAAUUAAGUACAACAAAUUGCAAGGAGAAACCCUACGGUGACUCACACAGUAUUUGUUAAACUGUCAAAGCCAGUUACAUUCAUAUAUCUGCAUUCAAAGUUACGUAGUUUGUGAUGUAAUCAUGGCGACUAUUUUACCAGGUAAUGAGUAAUUGAAUUUAGACUAGAUCUUGAAUCUUGGUAAUAUUUGGCCCAUACUAACUAGAUAUGAUUUGCACUACCCUAUUUUAAACUUUAUUUUUUUAUUUAUAUUUUUGUGACAUGUGCUACAAAUAAUUCCCUGAUAAUUGGCAAUCUGGCAUAUACCUAGAUUUUCAGACUUUUAUGCAUCAAUAAGGUGGUGAUACUUCUCUUGAAGUUAUUGUAGGUAUCAAAAUAUCUAUUCAAAUAUAUCCUGGUUAUUAUGCACUAGAGUUUAGAGACAUAAGAAAAGUUUUUGGCUUCUCUGUUAUUUUUCUGACUUCAGAACACUGCAAUAAAGUCAUCAACUAGUAAAUAUAAGAAGCUAUCCAAGCAGAGGUGGACCUAGGAUUUGAGCAUAUCGGGGGCACCACUAUCUUAAAACAGUCUAUGUCCCAAGUCAACAGAUUCAGGUAAAUUUUCCGAAGUGAAUGUUAAAUGCACAAAAGUGUGCAUUUUUUCCAAUAGUGGAGAUUGGACAGAAGUUGGGUUUCGGGAUUUUGAGGGAGAGAUUUGUAAAAGACAGAAUUAAAUAAGUGUACUACUAUUAUAUUAAAUUAACGUUGAAUUCAUAAAAGAUAAAAGAAAAACGUAUAUGAAGUUAACUAGCAAGUUACAGAGAACUAUUAUUACCAUUGAAUUCAAAAAGGAAAAAAGAGAAACAAAAAAUGUAUAACUCUGUCACAGUUGUGUCUUGAACAUUGAACGGCUAGGUACGGAAGGAGUGAAAGCGGGCUGCUCGACCAACGUAGCUUCACAUGUUUUGUGAAUGUCAGGGGGCACAGUUAAUUUAUAUAAAAGUUUCGGGAUGUAUAUGCAGACAUAUAUACACAGUUUUUGCCGAGGCUAUCAGGUGCCGGUAACCCCUCUACUCACAAGGCGAUUAACAAUGGUUCCUCUUCUAAAAGAACUUAUGGCAAAUGAAAUCCAGAGUAUAAAUCCGUGUUGUUACACUAUCCCACUUUUGAGUUUUCAAGUAAGUACACUUCAGCAUCCUAUCUCUACUCAUAAAUCUUAAAACUGAAAUUCUAUUAUUUUGUGUUGGGACUUUGACAUUGUCCAACUUGGGACUGUUCAAUACUGACAUGUUUGAUGCUAUUUUCUGUUGUAAUUUUAAUCAUCCCUUGCUUCAGAACUCUGAUCCAAGUUUACUUUUAAAUCUUCUUUAAAGGACAACCAUUAUUGCAUCGUGAUUUGUUUUCUUAGCUAAUCCCAUUUAACAUUUAAAUAAGCACUUGAGAUGAUCUUUCUUGAUCUCUUGAUAUUUUUUUUUUACAUAUACAAUGCUACUUCUGUUUUGGGCUGAGAUAUACCAUUAUGCAAUACUAUUUGAUUCUCAAAGGUCCUUAAAGAAUUACUCGGACAAGAUAUUUUUCAUGAGAUCAUGUCGAAUUGUUUGUCAAUAAUUUUUGCCCUGAAAAUAUUCAUACUUAUUUUAAUCAUUUUCAUCACGGGUCAAGCCUUACUCAUUGUUUAUUAUUCUUCUUAGGCAAGAGACCUUCCUGUUGAUAUACUUUGACAUAUUAUGCAGUUAAUUGCUAAACUCUUAACUCUUUAUCUCGGAUCAGUUUCUAUAUAUCUAUGAAUCUGUAGUUUAUUUGGUUGUGUUGUACUAGAGAUUCUAGGAAUAAUUGACAAUAAUACAGAUGCACAUACCAUGGUUGUAGAGAUUAAGAUUUAACAUAUGUUGCUUCUAUCCAUUGACUACUAUUCUAUUGUAACUCAUUUCGAUGUCUUCUAUCUCAAAACUAAGAUGAUAGUACUGUCUUACAUGAGCCACACAAAAAUAAAGUUGUUCAUUUUCCUCUUGAAUGUUGAAAGUUAGAAAAACAGUAGGUUCUACAUUCAACAUCUGUAUAUUGAGAUGUAAGAAAUAGACCAUCCUUCAAGUGAUUCUAACUGUAACCUUGUUACUUGAUUUACUUCAGCAAUUGCUGGUGUCUUUUAGAGUAUUUUGAAGUGAGCAUUAUCCUUGUGUUUCUUCUUCUAUUGUAAUUCUCUUUUACUUGUUUUUUUUGUACUUUUUUCAACCAACUUAUUUGGUUUAUCUUGUAAUGUUAUUUCCUCUAGUUAAUAAUUGAAAUUCUGAUUCUCAUGGAAAAAAAUUUCCUUGUCACCACAGAUUCAGUUCUUGGUAUUUGAUCAAUGAUGACAUCCAAGUACUGUACAUUGAUGGUUUUGCAGAUGAAAACUAACAAGUAUAGGAUGUGAAAGGAGAAGAUGUAGAGAUGACCGUGUUUCGGAAGACAAGCAAAAGAAGUUCAGCAUAGGAGGACAUCAUUGUGAUCAAGAUUUACAUAAACCGAGUGUUGGAGAAACGUUAAUAGGCUAGCUACUGUCUUGGAUUAUGGAUAUCUGAUAAUAGUAGUUAUUUGACUCAAACUGAUACUAGCUUUCGAAUUCAAAUGAUGUAUUUUUUCUUUUAUGUUGUUAACACUCUUGAAAUAUCAAGGCAAAAGUUAAGAAAUAUAUUGUCUUUUAGAAUGAAAAUUAGCCUGUAUUAUCAGAAA